UGGAAUGGAGUUCAGUAAAG
rnacentral:piRNA from 1 species